UCCUACGGGAGGCAGCAGCCGCGGUAAUACGGAGGAUGCGAGCGUUAUCCGGAUUUAUUGGGUUUAAAGGGUGCGUAGGCGGAUUUUUAAGUCAGCGGUAAAAUGUCCGGGCUCAACCCGGGCCGGCCGUUGAAACUGGGGAUCUUGAGUGGGCGAGAAGUAUGCGGAAUGCGUGGUGUAGCGGUGAAAUGCAUAGAUAUCACGCAGAACUCCGAUUGCGAAGGCAGCAUACCGGCGCCCGACUGACGCUGAGGCACGAAAGCGUGGGGAUCGAACAGGAUUAGAUACCCCGGUAGUCCUAGAUC
rnacentral:rRNA from 1 species